ACUGCAGCUGGGGAACGUGGUCCCGACCCGACAAUCGUUCCCGGGCAUUUUCGUGAACGGGGAAACUACGAAACAAUCGUCAAUAUCUCAACAACCUUAUAGCAACUAUGAGCCCGAGAACACUGGUCACUUGGCGGUGGUUCAGCCGAUCCCGGCUACUACAUUACCGGAACUUCUAAUGAAUUACGGCGCGGAAGUGUUCAGCUACGAGGACGUGCCGUUCGAUACGAUCACGAUCGAUAAGGAGGAGUCGAGCACGGAAUCGUCGUUCUCGUUCAAAAACAUGACGCACUCCAUCGAGCACGCCUCGCGUAAUGAUCUGAAGAACGCAGCCGCAGGACUCAGCCUAAAGAGUGUCAGAUAAGCUCGUUAGCGGCUGAAAUUUCAUGAUUCUUUUCGUUCUUUCCAUUCCUGUCUUAUUUUUGAAAUCUUUUUUCUUUCCGAUUUUGCUUUGACGAGGGAAACUCAUCAAGAAAAGUUUUCGCCUUCGACACGUUAAAAAUAAGAGAUGUCGAUAGUUGAGAAAUAAGGAACGUCGUUAUUUCAGUCCGUCUCCCUUGUAAAGGUUAUAAUACUCUGUAUCGUCUCUUUGUUAGCACAAUUUCUUGUAA